rnacentral:misc_RNA from 1 species
AAGUCGUAACAAGGUUUCCGUAGGUGAACCUGCGGAAGGAUCAUUACCAUACUUCACAACCACAAAGCCCUGCGCUUUCGAGAGAUUCGCAGGCACUACCACGAGCAAGCGCCGCGCGGUUCCGCGUGGCGUGAGGGAAAGAAUCAUGCUGACAUGAGUGAAUCUUUCCAGCGCCGUUCCCCACCCUCCGUGGGUGGGAGCUCUGAGAACGGACUCGGUUCUUUACCGAACCCUGUGCUUGAAAAGGAACAACAAUAACGUACAACUGCAAACGGUGGAUCACUCGGCUC